rnacentral:rRNA from 1 species
UACGUAGGGGGCGAGCGUUGUUCGGAAUUAUUGGGCGUAAAGGGUGCGUAGGCGGUUUUGUAAGUCUUAUGUGAAAUCUAUGGGCUCAACUCAUAGACUGCAUGAGAAACUGCAGGGCUUGAGUAUGGGAGAGGUGAGUGGAAUUCCUGGUGUAGCGGUGAAAUGCGUAGAUAUCAGGAGGAACACCGUGUGGUGUAGACAGCUUACUGGACCACUUCUGACGCUGAGACACGAAAGCGUGGGUAGCAAACAGG